AGAUCUGUCCUACGGGAGACAGCAGUAGGGAAUUUUCGUCAAUGGGCGCAAGCCUGAACGAGCAAUGCCGCGUGAACGAGGAAGGUCUUCGGAUCGUAAAGUUCUGUUGAAGGGGAAAAAGAGCGGAGAGAGGAAAUGGUCUCCGAUUGAUAUUACCCUUCGAGGAAGUCACGGCUAACUACGUGCC
rnacentral:rRNA from 1 species